rnacentral:rRNA from 1 species
GAAACAUCUUCGGGUUGUGAGGUUAAGCGACUAAGCGUACACGGUGGAUGCCCUGGCAGUCAGAGGCGAUGAAGGACGUGCUAAUCUGCGAUAAGCGUCGGUAAGGUGAUAUGAACCGUUAUAACCGGCGAUUUCCGAAUGGGGAAACCCAGUGUGUUUCGACACACUAUCAUUAACUGAAUCCAUAGGUUAAUGAGGCGAACCGGGGGAACUGAAACAUCUAAGUACCCCGAGGAAAAGAAAUCAACCGAGAUUCCCCCAGUAGCGGCGAGCGAACGGGGAGCAGCCCAGAGCCUGAAUCAGUGUGUGUGUUAGUGGAAGCGUCUGGAAAGGCGCGCGAUACAGGGUGACAGCCCCGUACACAAAAAUGCACAUAUUGUGAGCUCGAUGAGUAGGGCGGGACACGUGGUAUCCUGUCUGAAUAUGGGGGGACCAUCCUCCAAGGCUAAAUACUCCUGACUGACCGAUAGUGAACCAGUACCGUGAGGGAAAGGCGAAAAGAACCCCGGCGAGGGGAGUGAAAAAGAACCUGAAACCGUGUACGUACAAGCAGUGGGAGCCUCUUUAUGGGGUGACUGCGUACCUUUUGUAUAAUGGGUCAGCGACUUAUAUUCUGUAGCAAGGUUAACCGAAUAGGGGAGCCGAAGGGAAACCGAGUCUUAACUGGGCGUUAAGUUGCAGGGUAUAGACCCGAAACCCGGUGAUCUAGCCAUGGGCAGGUUGAAGGUUGGGUAACACUAACUGGAGGACCGAACCGACUAAUGUUGAAAAAUUAGCGGAUGACUUGUGGCUGGGGGUGAAAGGCCAAUCAAACCGGGAGAUAGCUGGUUCUCCCCGAAAGCUAUUUAGGUAGCGCCUCGUGAAUUCAUCUCCGGGGGUAGAGCACUGUUUCGGCAAGGGGGUCAUCCCGACUUACCAACCCGAUGCAAACUGCGAAUACCGGAGAAUGUUAUCACGGGAGACACACGGCGGGUGCUAACGUCCGUCGUGAAGAGGGAAACAACCCAGACCGCCAGCUAAGGUCCCAAAGUCAUGGUUAAGUGGGAAACGAUGUGGGAAGGCCCAGACAGCCAGGAUGUUGGCUUAGAAGCAGCCAUCAUUUAAAGAAAGCGUAAUAGCUCACUGGUCGAGUCGGCCUGCGCGGAAGAUGUAACGGGGCUAAACCAUGCACCGAAGCUGCGGCAGCGACACUAUGUGUUGUUGGGUAGGGGAGCGUUCUGUAAGCCUGUGAAGGUGUGCUGUGAGGUAUGCUGGAGGUAUCAGAAGUGCGAAUGCUGACAUAAGUAACGAUAAAGCGGGUGAAAAGCCCGCUCGCCGGAAGACCAAGGGUUCCUGUCCAACGUUAAUCGGGGCAGGGUGAGUCGACCCCUAAGGCGAGGCCGAAAGGCGUAGUCGAUGGGAAACAGGUUAAUAUUCCUGUACUUGGUGUUACUGCGAAGGGGGGACGGAGAAGGCUAUGUUGGCCGGGCGACGGUUGUCCCGGUUUAAGCGUGUAGGCUGGUUUUCCAGGCAAAUCCGGAAAAUCAAGGCUGAGGCGUGAUGACGAGGCACUACGGUGCUGAAGCAACAAAUGCCCUGCUUCCAGGAAAAGCCUCUAAGCAUCAGGUAACAUCAAAUCGUACCCCAAACCGACACAGGUGGUCAGGUAGAGAAUACCAAGGCGCUUGAGAGAACUCGGGUGAAGGAACUAGGCAAAAUGGUGCCGUAACUUCGGGAGAAGGCACGCUGAUAUGUAGGUGAAGUCCCUUGCGGAUGGAGCUGAAAUCAGUCGAAGAUACCAGCUGGCUGCAACUGUUUAUUAAAAACACAGCACUGUGCAAACACGAAAGUGGACGUAUACGGUGUGACGCCUGCCCGGUGCCGGAAGGUUAAUUGAUGGGGUUAGCGGUAACGCGAAGCUCUUGAUCGAAGCCUCGGUAAACGGCGGCCGUAACUAUAACGGUCCUAAGGUAGCGAAAUUCCUUGUCGGGUAAGUUCCGACCUGCACGAAUGGCGUAAUGAUGGCCAGGCUGUCUCCACCCGAGACUCAGUGAAAUUGAACUCGCUGUGAAGAUGCAGUGUACCCGCGGCAAGACGGAAAGACCCCGUGAACCUUUACUAUAGCUUGACACUGAACAUUGAACCUUGAUGUGUAGGAUAGGUGGGAGGCUUUGAAGUGUGGACGCCAGUCUGCAUGGAGCCGACCUUGAAAUACCACCCUUUAAUGUUUGAUGUUCUAACGUUGGCCCCUGAUCGGGGUUGCGGACAGUGUCUGGUGGGUAGUUUGACUGGGGCGGUCUCCUCCUAAAGAGUAACGGAGGAGCACGAAGGUUGGCUAAUCCUGGUCGGACAUCAGGAGGUUAGUGCAAUGGCAUAAGCCAGCUUGACUGCGAGCGUGACGGCGCGAGCAGGUGCGAAAGCAGGUCAUAGUGAUCCGGUGGUUCUGAAUGGAAGGGCCAUCGCUCAACGGAUAAAAGGUACUCCGGGGAUAACAGGCUGAUACCGCCCAAGAGUUCAUAUCGACGGCGGUGUUUGGCACCUCGAUGUCGGCUCAUCACAUCCUGGGGCUGAAGUAGGUCCCAAGGGUAUGGCUGUUCGCCAUUUAAAGUGGUACGCGAGCUGGGUUUAGAACGUCGUGAGACAGUUCGGUCCCUAUCUGCCGUGGGCGCUGGAGAACUGAGGGGGGCUGCUCCUAGUACGAGAGGACCGGAGUGGACGCAUCACUGGUGUUCGGGUUGUCAUGCCAAUGGCACUGCCCGGUAGCUAAAUGCGGAAGAGAUAAGUGCUGAAAGCAUCUAAGCACGAAACUUGCCCCGAGAUGAGUUCUCCCUGACCCUUUAAGGGUCCUGAAGGAACGUUGAAGACGACGACGUUGAUAGGCCGGGUGUGUAAGCGCAGCGAUGCGUUGAGCUAACCGGUACUAAUGAACCGUGAGGCUUAACCUU